rnacentral:rRNA from 1 species
ACGGAGGCAGCAGUGGGGAAUAUUGCACAAUGGGGGAAACCCUGAUGCAGCGACGCCGCGUGAAGGAAGAAGUAUCUCGGUAUGUAAACUUCUAUCAGCAGGGAAGAUAAUGACGGUACCUGACUAAGAAGCCCCGGCUAACUACGUGCCAGCAGCCGCGGUAAUACGUAGGGGGCAAGCGUUAUCCGGAUUUUCUGGGUGUAAAGGGAGCGUAGACGGUGCUGCAAGUCUGAAGUGAAAGGCAUGGGCUCAACCUGUGGACUGCUUUGGAAACUGUGGUGCUUGAGUGCCGGAGGGGUAAGCGGAAUUCCUAGUGUAGCGGUGAAAUGCGUAGAUAUUAGGAGGAACACCAGUGGCGAAGGCGGCUUACUGGACGGUAACUGACGUUGAGGCUCGAAAGCGUGGGGAGCAAACAGGAUUAGAUACCCUGGUA